rnacentral:ncRNA from 1 species
GAGAACUGACAAUCCGAUAGAUAGGGAUAUCUACCAUAAACUCCGACAUGCGAUAUAUGACGAAAGUCAAGUCGUGUGAAGCUCGGUGAAGUCGGCAGAAGGUUGACUCAUGAAGCCAACUGAUAUGCCGGUGGUCCGUACC